rnacentral:rRNA from 1 species
GACGAACGCUGGCGGCGUGCUUAACACAUGCAAGUCGAACGGAAAGGCCCUGCUUGCAGGGUACUCGAGUGGCGAACGGGUGAGUAACACGUGGGUGAUCUGCCCUGCACUUCGGGAUAAGCCUGGGAAACUGGGUCUAAUACCGGAUAGGAGCUAUUUUUAGUGUGAUGGUUGGAAAGUUUUUUCGGUGUAGGAUGAGCUCGCGGCCUAUCAGCUUGUUGGUGGGGUAAUGGCCUACCAAGGCGGCGACGGGUAGCCGGCCUGAGAGGGUGGACGGCCACAUUGGGACUGAGAUACGGCCCAGACUCCUACGGGAGGCAGCAGUGGGGAAUAUUGCACAAUGGGCGCAAGCCUGAUGCAGCGACGCCGCGUGGGGGAUGACGGCCUUCGGGUUGUAAACUCCUUUCGCUAGGGACGAAGCUUUUUGUGACGGUACCUAGAUAAGAAGCACCGGCUAACUACGUG